GCCGAGCCUCACAAACGUUAUUCGGAAUUACUGGGCUUAAAGGGUGCGUAGGCGGCGCGGAAAGUUGGGUGUGAAAUCCCUCGGCUCAACCGAGGAAUUGCGCUCAAAACUACCGUGCUCGAGGGAGAUAGAGGAGUGCGGAACUUACGGUGGAGCGGUGAAAUGCGUUGAUAUCGUAGGGAACACCGGUGGCGAAAGCGGCACUCUGGAUCUCAUCUGACGCUGAUGCACGAAAGCUAGGGUAGCAAACGGG
rnacentral:rRNA from 1 species